UGGUUACAGUCCUGGUGCAGGGUGGUGCCAGUUUGACUGCUGGGCAGUGUCACCUCUGCCCACCACACCCCUCCUCACCAGGGAGGGACCUGGUAUUUAACAGGUGCCUGACAGCCCGGUUAGAACCGUGCCAAGGACGGUGAUCGAGAGUGCUGCCAGCAUCGCCUCCUCUGGGAGUUUUUGGGCAGGUUUGCUCACAGACCACUGAGGAUGUGUGACCCCCACCAAGGCAUGCCACAACCACACCAUCCAGUUUGCCCUCCUGCUCCUCCAGGAUACCCUGGUCCUGGCACAGGUCCCUGCCCUGGUGGCCCUGCAGUUUGCCCCCCGUGCCCCCCUCCACCUGGCCACGGGCAUCACCCCCAUGGGCACCCCCCAUGUGGACAUAAUCCCCAUGGGCACCUCCCUCCAGGACCACCGGGAGUGCAGGUGUGCCCCCCUGACUGUCAUCAGAAGCACCAUAAGAAGCACCAUAAGAAGCACCAUAAGAAGAAGCACUCCAAGCACCAUGGAGGCAAGCACUCCAGCGGCUCAAGCAGCAGCUCAAGCAGCAGCUCUGACUCUGACUGAACAUUUGGCAUCUCCCACCUGUACAGCACUGAUUAGCAAAACAUGAAGCCAAACACCUUGUGCGAGUGCUGUGCCCUGCCCUGCGUGUUUCUCUGUUCCCCUUCCCUUUCCCUUAUAGCAGCGUUUUGCCUGCUGUGUGAUUUUCUCAUGUUUACUUUGUAAAUGCUUUGUCCUGGAAUCUCUGAGUCAUUGGACAGCAUCACCAUUGUCUGUCUUUUGGGAGAGCCUGCUGAA